CUGUGUGCUAGCUCUUCAUUAAGAAUGAAAUCACACACUUGACAUCAAUUAGAGCACCAAGCUCUCCUGGGUGCUCCAAGCGCAUCAUUAGUAGACACACGCCUCCUCUCCCUCUGUUCCCCCACUUGGAUCGCCCACUUCAUGCCAUUGCGUCACACUUCAAGCUGCUUCCUUUGCAUUUGUCCGCUCAUCUGCAGCUGAGCGCUUUGGCGGGCGCGGUAGCGUUUUCAAGGAAUAAAGGACCGAGAGGAGUGGGAGGGCGAGCAACCCGCUGUGACGGUGAAGGGAACGUUGGAAUUGGCUCUUAAUUUGCGGCCAACGUGUCGCAGCAGCGGCGGGCUCUCCUCCCGACAAGCAUAUCAGGCAAUUAGCAAGUGCUAAUCAUGACCCUCGUGUCGGCGCCACAGCCUCGUUUGUAAUCUCUUAAUGAACAAAUUGCAUCUCUGAUUAGAGGCCGUCUCACCGGGAGAGAGCAGGCGAGACCGCAGCGGAGGCAUCCGUAAUUGCCUCGGGAUGGCGUUCCCAUCGUGUAUUUCAAAACUUGUGAUGUAAAUGCAUCUCAGUGGGCAGACUCCAGAUUUUUGUGCUAUCCAUUUAGUUUGAUGGCAGAUGGAGUGCCAUAAACACGUGACAAGUAAUCAUCAUUAUCUGACAAGGAGAGUUGAGCUAUUGCCCAGUGUAAAACAAAUGUCACCGCUCAUGCGUGUGUAUGUGGGUGUCUGCCAUUAUCGCAUCGAAAUGAAAGUGGCCUCUUCAUGUUAUAAUCUAUGUUUCUCCUCCUCAUGUCCUGCUGGGUGUUCACCAGACAGGUCAAACGAAAUGGCUAGAGUAUGAACCCUCACAAGAGCUGUCAGUCAUAAAGAUUAGAGAGCAAAUCAGUUGGACGACGCAUAGAGCAGGGGUCCCCAAGUCCGUGGGGCAAAAAAGGUUGGGGACCCCUGGCAUAGAGUGUUUAUGAGGGGUUUGAACUCCAGUGAGCUUACCUGUAUGCCAUUUGGUGAGUACUCGUGAUCUCAUUAGAGCGACUCCGGGCCACUCGAGGUGAUGCCGGUUCAGCCCGCCUCUUUCUUAAAGAAGAGCGUUUUUGCGAGAGGCACACUCAUUAAAAAUACCCAUUGCAGUGGUUUAAUCACAUUAACAAGAACAGUCUGACCUAAUUGGUCCUGUGCACAUACAGUAUUAUAUUUACACAUUUGCCUUUUUCAAUUAUGCACAUUUAUCCAUAGUGUCAUGCAUAUUAGUGAAUAUGUAAUUUUUGUCACAUUCUCAUGGCUUCCCUCAGCCGCUGGGAGGUCAUAUGUUCACCUCCAAAUAACAAGUAGGGAAAAAAUCCAGAUUUCUGGUACUUGUAAUUGCUGUUUUUCAUCAAAUGUUGGCAAAAUUACAUGUAGCGAUGUGAUGGAACGUUCUUCGGAUACGAGUUUCUGCAGACCUAAUGGUGAGCGAAAUGUCCCGCUGAACAAUAAACCUUGGAAUCAUUUUUUUCUGGAAUGCAGCGGAUGCAUCCAGCUUUGUUUACUCCUCCACAUCUGCUCCACUUCGCUAAUUAGCCGCUAAUUGGCGCAGAGAAGGCGAACAGCUCACUCAAGUCUCUGUCACACGGUUUACCGGGGAGUCCUAGGAACUAAUGACGGCCCAGCAAACUUGUAUGCCAAGUGCACUCAAAAAAAAGGGCCGCAGGCAGCCAUUGAUAGCUGUCGAUUAAACAUUUAAUGCUAACCAAUCUUGCCAGGAUUAUCCCCAAAUUGCUUGUGGAACUAAACAUGCCGCAGAAGUUGUACAGAAACUACAUGUAAUGUCACAAAGACACAAAUUGACCUAACUUCUGCGAAACUUGAGCCAGCAUGGUUUUUCAAAUCAAAUAAAAUCAAUGGAAUUCAACAAAAAAUUGGAAUAAUUAAUCUCUUGAAGGAAAGUAGUCACAGCCUCCGAUACAAAAGAGACUCACGCUGCAAUGGCACAAAUAUGUUAUGAAGAGAAGAACGUGAGCAACAAAACAGCGGACCCUUGCACUUGCGGAUUCACUUCUUUGGGGAUUUCUUUUCAAUGUUUUUCUUUUUUGGGUGGUAACCAAACCUUGGUUUUCAUGGAGAACAUACCUUGAGGGUUUAUCAGCAUUUUGAGAAGAAUUUGAGUGGUUUGAAUAAUAUCCCCCACCAAUAUAUUUAUUUCAGUGAGUGUCGAAUUUGCACUAAGUAACUCUAUCACAGUUAAAAAGUAAAAUGCCAACUUUGGAGAAUGUGACAUAAAAAAUAAUCAAUGAAGUGUGCAAAGCUAUGUGAUUAGCGGGGGAAUGCACCCGUUUUCUAAAAAUGAAAUUUCAAAAGUAAUGUAAACUCUGAAAGGAUAAGUCGACAUGAUUACCUGAAAUCAUAAUGACAGGAGCAGAUCGUAGCAUGAUGAAAAAACCAAAAUUGUGUCAGUCAACAUUAAGUUGCAUGCAUGCGUGCGUGCGCCUUGCACUAAUGCAGGAAGAUGAAUAUGUGUGAUGAAGAGAAUCUUGACAGAAAUAGAGGGGCUGUAGAUAUACAGUCAAUGCCUUGAAGACUUUCUUACUGACCUGAACAUCUGCUACCUACAUUCCCUGAUCAUAUUUCAAUUGAAUAAGCUUGAAUUUUGAAAUGAGGUUCAUUUUAUGUCGGCCAAUGAAAGCUUAUUGAUUCCGGUUCUGAUUAUUAGGCCAAAAAUAAAAAUCCCUAUGUUGCGGUUAUAUUUUAUCCUAGGCUGCCAAGAUUUCAAUAUCUUUGAAAGAGUGUGCACUUGAAGACCCUGUUAAACAUGUCAAAAUUUUUCCCUUUUCCAAAAUCACUUCCCAUUUUGAUCUUCAAAAAUGUCCCAGGGUUGCCAGGUCUGCAACAAUAUCUGUCUUCCAUCCAUGCUCAGAGCAUUCCACUGCCCAACAUGCCCAUAGGAUGUUCAAUUGAACCCCCCCCCAGCCCCUAACAUUAAUCAUCUACUGCAGAGGUCCGCAGACGUGGGUCCGGUCCGCGGGUCAUAUGGUACCGGGCCGCACAGAAAGAACUUACAUGAAUUCCGUUUUAUUGAUUUCAGAAUACGAAAAAUGCUUUAUUUUGAAAAAUUACCCGAUUCUCCGUUACAUCCAUCUGUGUCACUCUUGCCGCACGUCAAGCCACGCUUCGCCGUCACGUGACCGAUUACUUCAAAACAAAACGCAGGAGCUCGUAAAAUGAGUUUUUAAAAACUGCCAGAGAUCGCAAAUGAUGGCGGCCUUAAAAGUAUGUUCGAGACAACAACUCCUCCGGUGUUCUGGAUUAAAGUUAUGGUUGAAUACUCUGCGAUCACCACAAUAGCACUGUUGCUAUUUCCGACAUGCUACCUGUGUGAAGCGGGGGUUUUCUGGAGCAACGGCGACUAAAACAAAAUUACAAAGUAGACUGGAUAUAAACCACACACUUCAGGUGUCAUUUUCUCCUAUUUCUCCUAUUUCUCCUAUUUGCUCGGGGCUCGCACUGAUUUAGCAUUGUGGUGAGUGGUCAUUUUCAUGCACUUUGAAUUUGCGUUGUAUUGUAUUUUGAUUAAACAUUACCAUAUCAAUCAAAUUAGACGCUCCUCAUUUUUAUUAUCUUUCGAAAACACCACGACAACACCGCAUGCAGCUCAUAACAUAUAUAUUUAUUAUAUAUAUUUAUACCAUAUAUAUUUAUUUAUCCGCCACACUUUAAAUGCCGGACCCUGAAAAUAUUGUCUGACAUAAACCGGUCCGUGGGGCAGAAAAGGUUGGGGACCCCUGAUCUACUGUACAUCUGAAUGCAGUAGAUUUGGUCCAAGGGAAAGGCAGAAGGUGCAGCCUUCUUGGUUUGCGCCAUCCACAAAAGCAGAGUGAAUCAUACAGCGCUCCACAAAGAACGUGCAAAAACCCAUUCACAAACCCAUUAGGGAAAUGAACUUUGAAUUUUUGGUGUGUUUCGAUGUUUUUGAAAUGCCAAUCGAAUGAAUACUGCUCUGAGCAAUAAGUGAAAAUGGGAACCUUUGUCCUGGUAAAUUUCGAUGACCUUGCUCACUAUUGGUGAGAUAAUAGUUUUCGUGGUCUACUUCCUGACAUGGGACAGUACUCCUUCCUGUAAGGAGGCGAUUAAGUGCUGUAAUUGGCUCUCUGCGUUGCAGACGAGUACGGGGCUGGCUGGUUUUGACAAGUGUGCUCGUCCCCUCUCGGCGCCUGCUGCUUUGUCAGGAGUUAAAUUGCAUGGUUAAUUCGGAUGUUAUUUACCCUGUAAUUCAUUAGUUAGGGCCGCCAUUGGCGGCUUGCAGGCUGUAAUUUCACGCUUGGCAAUAAAAGAUGUCUCAUAAUCUGCUUCAUUUAGCAGCCAAAGAAUUUAAUGAAAUUAACUGUGGCCCUAAUUAAGACGGUGAAUAUUAAAGACCUGCCAUGAAGGCUUUAACGAGGGUGACACGAUCCGCAUUUCGCCGGAUCCGAAAAAUAUCAUUUCCCCGUGAAAGGUUGUCACUGCUCUGAGCCAUUUUGGCCAUCAUGACAUUUUUGUCACGCACACUCACCCCUGCAAAUGAGAUUUUGCAGGGGGCGUCACUCCCAUUUUAGUCGGAGGAAUAAUUAAAACAUGCCACACAGGCGUCAAUCAAAUGAACAUACUCAUUACGCCUCAUCUCCAGUUUUUUUUUGCCACGGGCUUGUCGCAUGAUGACCGUUGUUGGCCUGAGGGACUUGUGUGUUUUAUGACUGUUAAUACACUGAAACUAACUGCUCCAGUAAGCUUUUAGGUUUGUCAUUCAUUAUCCCGAUUGCCAAUUUCCUUGGUUACUAACCUGUAGGAGAAGUGACCCUGAGCCAACUUUAUUUUUCUUGUGAGAAUCUGUAUUUAGCACAAAGCAAUUGCCAAUAAUGUGGAAACUUUGUAAAACUUUGAACCAGUGAGGCAUGUGGUUGAUCACAUCUCAGCCAUCGGAACCAUUUGGCUAAGCUGCCUGCAAUCUUGGUACAUCCACACACGCUCUGUCUGAAAGCAUGAUGGAUGAGCUGCGAUGGCCAGCGCGAUAGAGGAGGCAGCGUUCAGCUUCCUUCCCACCCACUGUCACCCCCCUUAAGUCUGCUGUCUAAGGGUGACACCUCCAAUUUAGCUUCUUGCUCUUGUGGGAUUCCCAUGAACAAAAGGCCUGUGGCCCCUCAGAAAUCAGCCCGUUCUGUGGAGAGCGUGUCCUUCUCUGUCUCGCCGAUUGAGCGCCCUCUGUAUCUCUUUUUUGGAUCACACCCGGGACUAUCCAUUGUGUGAACAACAUCGGGCUGAUGGAGGGAUUAAAUACUCUAUUAGUUCAUAGCAGACCAGGAAAGUUUCUUCACUGCAUCACAAAAGAGGCUUGGGGGAGAGCUCGCUUAAUGUGUUCCAAGUAAGGAGCACUUAGAUUGGUAGAUUUGGGGAAAAACAUUCCUGAAGAACAAAUUGUGGCGUUUGGGACUGGUUGUUGGAGCGAUGCUAAUUGGUCUCCUGAAGAAUUUUUUGUUAUUUUUGUUUGGUGGUUUAUCGUGAGGGUUUUUUGUUUGUUUUUUUCCUACCUAAGAUGUCGCAGUCCGGAAAACCCUGAUCUAAUAAUUACUCUCCUAAAUUAAAGGUAUGACAGUAAUUAACUAAGUCUAGUACGAUGCACGUAGACUAAGAUAUGUCAUAAUUCAUAUCCAAUAGUGAUAGAAUAAUGAUCAUGUAAAAUCCCGUGCAUAAUAUGCAUUUUUUUUUCAUUCCGCUCCUUAUAUAAAUAAUCAAACAUGGUCGUUGUACACGGUUUAAUUAAUCAUGUGCAACCGAUGAUUCUGAUUCUGAUGUCAACAUGCUCGCAAUCAAACCCUAAACUCCAUGUUGGGAGACGACCACGCUAUCACUGAGCCAUGUCACCCUAUUGUCCAGUAGAGCCAAUCAUUUUUUUAUUUUGCAUCUCCAUAUGCACGGACAUUGGCGUGAUGUUAACCUACUGCAAUACUAAGUCAGGGUUGAUUGUUGAGACCCCAUACUGUGAGUACUAACACCAAAUUUGUGACUUACCGGUUUUCUGGAAAGUAGUGCAGGCCUAUUCAACAUCUUUGUCCGACACGUGACUGCUGAACGACCCUGGUGUCUCAUCUAAUGAAUGACCUCAUCUCUCUGCUUCCCGUCAACAAGCGACCUUUCCGAAGCACUACUUCUUUGCAGUCUUUACUCACCGUCCAGCUUCCUCUACCUGAGCUUAACUGUGACGCUCGCCAGCGCCUUUGGACAUUUUUGGAUAGUGAACAAAUGACAUCAUCUCCCCAUCAACCGAUCCUCCCCUACCUCCCCCGCCAGCUAUCGACCUUUUCCUAAGCACUAGGCCACAAUACUUCACGGGGCAGGGAAGUGCCAAGUGAGUAUAUCUGAGGACAUAUUUCCCCCACACAGAGACCUUGUGUGCCGUCAUGACAGCCAGUCCGCUCCUGAAGGCGAAUUGUGCCGUGUGUGUCACCGAGCCUGCAGACGCACAUAAUGAAACAUAUUAGCCAUCGGCGUUCAGUUCGCCUCACCCUCAUGCAAAGUGAUCGCAUGCCAUGCACAGGACGGAUGACUCAAAUGAAUCCGCUGAUGUCUCCUGUCCCAAAACGUCUUUUGGACAGACCAUUGUGAGGAAUGUUAAGCAGUGAAGCACCGACCCCCGGGUCACUACAAUCUUGGACACCUUCUGACUAUUUCUUUUUGGCAUACAUUACUGAAAUAUAAAGAGUGCGUGUAUGUGGUGUAUCAGAAAAGUGACGUAGUGGUGUUUACAAAGACUGAUCCAAAUCCAAAGAUCCAAAAUACAAGUUUUCCCCUUCAAAGUAAUCACCCCGGAGUCUAAACAUACUUUCUCUGCCUUGUCUGUCUUAUCAAGAUUACGCUGGGAUCCUCAACAGCUCUGUUGUCCUUGCCAUUCUGCUGUCAUGCACUUCUUCAAAACUACUCCCCUUGCUCAUCCCUUUAAUAUUGGCACAGGGGGGGAAAAAAUCACAUCGAUAUCUGGUAGCCAAUUCUAUUUUGGUAGGAACCUUCCAUUCCCUCAUCGGGUGUUCCAAUCAGAACGAUGCCGUUUAAAUGUUUGAGAGUUAUUGGAAACCUUUUGGAGUUUGAUGAUUACAAAGAAGGAUGCACUGACAAGUUUGUCUCAAACAAGCUUGCCAGUUGGUAAACUCCAGUAAAACUCAGUGGAUUUAACAUGUUGACUUAAUUUUUAACAGUGGCUGUGUUAAAAACUGCCCUUGUGCUCAUAAUAAUCUUCAGUGGCCCAACUGCAAGGACCUUUGACUCAUCGUAUUGACCUUUAUGCACCACAGGGAAGCUCGUACGUGUUCAGUCUACUUGCUCUUCAUUUGGAGCCAGCGGACCCACUCGAAACAUGUGGAAAUGUAGCAGUGCCUUUUAGGGAACAAAAGUGCCUCGCUAAAUAAGCAUAAUUCACACUCAGGCAAAUCAGAUCCUAUUAUCAGCGCUCAGCUCGGGUUGCUAUAACAAUGUACAAGUUGGUACAUAGACUGAUGAAGCAGAAUGAAAGUGUGUGCAUUGGGUGGGGGCAACAUGCAGCUAUUUAUUUAUUUAUUUGGUUAUUUAUUUAUACUUGUGUGGGGGAAGAGACUGAUCCAAAUCGUAGUCAGAGCAGACUUGUCUAUGCAGUGAGAGAUUUGCAGGCAUCCGCAAAGUCGCAACUGACAUCUCUGGAGAUCCUUAUUUGAAUCCCCUCCCCAUUUGGUUUGAAUCCAUCUUGCCUAAAUUGGCUUUUCUGUCAUCCGUGUUGUUCAGAUUCAAAUCAAGCUGGAUUCAAGCUGAUUAUGACCCCCUCAAGAAAAGGAUUUGGGGCUUUUUGUGAGAUCACAGUUUAUCAACUGAUUCCCCAUCUUAGAAUGCAGCUAAGCAGAACCUGAUUAAUGACAGCACUGUUGUGUGCGGAUGUAGUAUUUCUCCUAUUAUUUCACUGCAAAUUACGGCAAAUGUUCGGUCACCCCGGGCCUGCUGCUCCUUCAUGCCUCAACCACUGGCUGUCGUAAUUCAAUUCAUUUCAACCUCUUCCCUCCAACACAGGUUGUCUUAAUCAAAGCUGAGCAUUGAGAGCAGCGCCGACUGUGCUUCUCCCCUCAUUCGUCUCCUCCUUCUUGGGUGUUUCCGCCGCAUGCCCCCUCCCUUUACGGCUGGACUCUAUUAAUAUCCUGUGUCGGCGUGUUAAUGUUGUUGAGGUCCAGUGGAGUGACACGCGUGGCAGCACGGCUUUAAUUGCUAAUCAGUGGACAGUUUUAUCCGCUGCCGCCGCCUCCCAUUCCCCCCCAGCCCCCAUCACUCCUCCCGCCAUGCCUUUCUCCCCGCCAUCUAUGCGACCUUCGUGCUCUCUCACCUAAUGAAUGGAGCACAAAUGAAGUGUGGGCGGCGGUGGCCCGGCCUCGCUGCUCAGUCAGCCGCGGCUGAUGUGCGUAGGAGCGGCGGGCAGAGAAGCGGCGACAUUAACAAGCCUGAAGAGGGGAAAAAGUCAGACAAUUAAACGACGCUGGCAAAUGUCGUAAGCUCGUUAAGGCACUCGUGUACACUGAGACGGACAAUUGCGUGUUUAUGGCACUAAAUGCACUCAGAUUCGUUAGUGGUCAUUUUUGAUUGAAGCAUUAUUUCCAUACUGAACAACACGAGGCGGUCAUGAUCAAAGCUUUGGAUAUACCGUACGUGCCAUGCAGUAUGCAUCCUACGCACCUUGCAGAUUUUGAAAAAAAUCCUUUUUUGAAAUUAGCGACAGUGCACUUUUUAAAAGAGAAUUUCAAUUUCUACAUACAGUGUUUAUAUAAAUAAAGCAAUGUAGACUAAUUUCUGUCCUUCAGCCCGCUGCAAUUUUGAUCCUGACAUAAUAUUAGAAAAAGACAAAACACUACUUUUAAAGAGACACACAAAGAUAUAAGGCUCGUUUAUGGCAGAGAUGUAGAACAAUGACUCUGAGCAAAUUAUGUGCAAGUGAAACAGCCGCCUCCUGGGUUAUGUAGGAUCUGCUGGAGUUUCAGAAACCUGCUUCCAUCUUUUGUCCACAUCACGCAUGCUUAUACAUGCACUGCAUUGUUCUGCUUCUACAUUAAGGGCGUGCUUGUUUGCAG